rnacentral:rRNA from 1 species
GAUGAACGCUGGCGGCGUGCCUAAUACAUGCAAGUCGAGCGAACAGACGAGGAGCUUGCUCCUUUGACGUUAGCGGCGGACGGGUGAGUAACACGUAGGUAACCUACCUAUAAGACUGGGAUAACUUCGGGAAACCGGAGCUAAUACCGGAUAAUAUUUCGAACCGCAUGGUUCGAUAGUGAAAGAUGGCUUUGCUAUCACUUAUAGAUGGACCUGCGCCGUAUUAGCUAGUUGGUAAGGUAACGGCUUACCAAGGCAACGAUACGUAGCCGACCUGAGAGGGUGAUCGGCCACACGGGAACUGAGACACGGUCCAGACUCCUACGGGAGGCAGCAGUAGGGAAUCUUCCGCAAUGGGCGAAAGCCUGACGGAGCAACGCCGCGUGAGUGAUGAAGGUCUUCGGAUCGUAAAACUCUGUUAUUAGGGAAGAACAAACGUGUAAGUAACUGUGCACAUCUUGACGGUACCUAAUCAGAAAGCCACGGCUAACUACGUG